GGUUCAAUUCGUGUAGUCUUGUGAGAAUUUUUUCACCUUUCAAAUUUCGUGGUUUUUGUUUCACAGCGUCCAAAAAGUGCAAAAAUUUAUCUGCGUGAAUCCAGCGAAUCCAAGCUCGAGAAAUUAACUCAAAAUGUCCGCCUUCCCGGGUAGUAUCGCCUUCGACGAAUACGGUCGUCCUUUUAUAAUUUUACGUGAACAAGAACGCGAAAAGCGCAUCACUGGAACCGAUGCUAUCAAGAGUCACAUUUUGGCCGCACGCCAAAUCGCUAGUACGCUGAAAACAUCAUUGGGUCCAAAAGGUUUGGAUAAAAUUAUGGUUAGCGCAGAUGGCGAUGUGACCGUAACAAAUGAUGGUGCCACAAUAAUGAAAUUGAUGGAGGUCGAUCACGAGAUUGGCAAACUCAUGGUGCAAUUGUCACAAUCACAGGAUGACGAAAUCGGCGAUGGCACUACUGGCGUCGUUGUUUUAGCCGGUGCUUUGCUCGAGCAAGCUGAAAGCCUUAUUGAUCGUGGCAUUCAUCCAAUUCGUAUUGCUGAUGGUUUCGAAUUGGCCGCUCAGUGCGCUGUUAGACAAUUAGAAUCUAUUGCCGAACCAUUCCCUAUCGAUCCCAAAAAUAAGGAACCACUCGUACAGAUUGCUAUGACUACACUAGGCAGUAAAAUUGUGAACAAGUGCCAUUUGCAAAUGGCUACCAUGGCCGUGGAUGCUGUGUUGAACGUGGCUGAUAUUGAGAAGCGUGAUGUGAAUUUCGAGUUGAUCAAAAUUGAGACCAAAGUUGGUGGUCGCAUGGAGGAUUCGAUGCUGGUGAAAGGUGUUGUGGUCGACAAAACCAUGAGCCAUGCACAAAUGCCGAAAGUGUUGAAAGAUGUAAAGCUUGCUAUACUCACCUGCCCAUUUGAACCACCAAAGCCCAAGACCAAGCAUAAGUUGGAUGUCACUUCGGCCGAAGACUACCGUGCGCUGCGUGAAUACGAACAGGAAAAAUUCGUAAAUAUGGUUAAACAAGUUAAGGACGCUGGUGCCACUUUGGCCAUCUGCCAAUGGGGCUUCGAUGAUGAAGCCAACCAUUUGUUGCUGCAACACGAAUUGCCUGCGGUUCGUUGGGUCGGUGGACCUGAAAUCGAAUUGAUUGCUAUUGCCACUGGUGGCAGAAUCGUACCACGUUUCGAGGAAUUGACAGCCGAAAAGCUGGGUACUGCUGGUUUAGUGCGUGAACUAUCUUUCGGUACUUCCAAGGACAAAAUGUUGGUUAUUGAGGAGUGCAAGAAUUCCAAGGCUGUAACUAUUUUCCUGCGUGGCGGCAAUGCCAUGAUCAUUGCCGAGGCCAAACGUUCUAUACACGAUGCACUUUGUGUUGUACGCUCGUUGAUUAAGGAUAAUCGCAUUGUCUACGGUGGUGGUGCAGCUGAAAUCAGUUGCUCUCUAGCCGUUGCCAAAGAGGCCGAUCAGUUGUCCACUCUGGAGCAGUAUGCCUUCCGUGCCUUCUCCGUGGCCCUCGAGAACAUACCGUUGGCUUUAGCCGAGAAUAGCGGCUUGCAUCCCAUUGAAACAUUGUCUGAGUUGAAGGCACGUCAAGUUUCAGAGAAGUGCCCCAGCUUGGGUGUGGAUUGCAUGCUGUCCGGUGAUUCUGAUAUGAAGAAUCAUAAUGUAGUCGAAUCGUUGAAUUCCAAGAAACAACAGAUCCUCCUCGCGACACAGUUGGUGAAGAUGAUACUUAAAAUUGAUGAUGUACGCUCCAAGGACGGCCAGUAAAUGUGCGAAAACCAAACAGCAUUAAUACCAUAAACACACUAAACUCAUCUCAUCAUAUACUUAAAACGCAUUUGUUACCGUCUGGACGCGUGCGCACCUACAAGAAUACUGCUCCUUUGCGCCGUUGAACAAUUAUAAUUUGUUUGCUUAAUUAAUAAAGUACUAAAAGAAGGAACAAAUUAAA
rnacentral:misc_RNA from 1 species